rnacentral:rRNA from 1 species
AAGCGUGCGUAGGCGGCUUUUUAAGUCGGAUGUGAAAUCCCUGAGCUUAACUUAGGAAUUGCAUUCGAUACUGGAGAGCUAGAGUAUGGGAGAGGAUGGUAGAAUUCCAGGUGUAGCGGUGAAAUGCGUAGAGAUCUGGAGGAAUACCGAUGGCGAAGGCAGCCAUCUGGCCUAAUACUGACGCUGAGGUACGAAAGCAUGGGGAGCAAACAGGAUUAGAUACCCUGGUAGUCCAUGCCGUAAACGAUGUCUACUAGCCGUUGGGGCCUUUGAGGCUUUAGUGGCGCAGCUAACGCGAUAAGUAGACCGCCUGGGGAGUACGGUCGCAAGACUAAAACUCAAAUGAAUUGACGGGGGCCCGCACAAGCGGUGGAGCAUGUGGUUUAAUUCGAUGCAACGCGAAGAACCUUACCUGGCCUUGACAUACUAAGAACUGUCCAGAGAUGGAUUGGUGCCUUCGGGAACUUAGAUACAGGUGCUGCAUGGCUGUCGUCAGCUCGUGUCGUGAGAUGUUGGGUUAAGUCCCGCAACGAGCGCAACCCUUUUCCUUAUUUGCCAGCGGGUUAAGCCGGGAACUUUAAGGAUACUGCCAGUGACAAACUGGAGGAAGGCGGGGACGACGUCAAGUCAUCAUGGCCCUUACGGCCAGGGCUACACACGUGCUACAAUGGUCGGUACAAAGGGUUGCUACCUCGCGAGAGGAUGCUAAUCUCAAAAAGCCGAUCGUAGUCCGGAUCGCAGUCUGCAACUCGACUGCGUGAAGUCGGAAUCGCUAGUA